AAGGAGACUGCCUUCGCAAGGAGGAGGAAGGUGAGGACGACGUCAAGUCAUCAUGGCCCUUACGGCCAGGGCUACACACGUGCUACAAUGGGGCGUACAAAGAGCAGCAAUACGGUGACGUGGAGCAAAUCUCAUAAAACGCCUCCCAGUUCGGAUUGUUCUCUGCAACUCGAGAACAUGAAGUUGGAAUCGCUAGUAAUCGUAAAUCAGCAAUGUUACGGUGAAUACGUUCCCGGGUCUUGUACUCACCGCCCGUCACACCAUGGGAGUUGAUUUCAUUCGAAGCGGGGAUGCUAAAGUAGCUACCUUCCACAGUGGAAUUAGCGACUAGGGUGAAGUCGUAACAAGGUAACCGUAGGAGAACCUGCGGUUGGAUCACCUCCUUU
rnacentral:rRNA from 1 species